rnacentral:rRNA from 1 species
UACAGAGGGGGCAAGCGUUAUUCGGAAUUAUUGGGCGUAAAGGGCGCGUAGGCGGCUUUGCAAGUGACGGGUGAAAUCCCACGGCUUAACCGUGGAACUGCCUGUCAGACAGCAUGGCUUGAGACCAGGAGAGGUGAGUGGAAUUCCCAGUGUAGCGGUGAAAUGCGUAGAGAUCGGGAAGAACAUCGGUGGCGAAGGCGGCCUGCUGGGCCGUUGCUGACGCUGAGGCGCGACAGCGUGGGGAGCAAACAGG